rnacentral:tRNA from 1 species
GGGGGUUUAGCUCAGUUGGUAGAGCGUUCGGCUGGCAGCCGCGAGGUCAGGGGUUCGACUCCCCUAACCUCCA